UGAAUACGAAAUGCUACGGCAUUGAAGUGAUCUAUGCCAGGCUUCCAAGAAAAUCUCGUCAUAUCUUAAGCAGUAGAUGCCUGUACCUUAAACCGACACAGGUAGGUAGGUAGAGUAUACCAAGGGGCGCGAGAUAACUCUCUCUAAGGAACUCGGCAAAAUAACCUCGUAACUUCGGAAGAAGAGGUACCCUUGAAAAAGGGUUGCAAUAACCAGACCCUGGCGACUGUUUACCAAAAACACAGGUCUCCGCUAAUUCGUAAGAUCAAGUAUGGAGGCUGACGCCUGCCCAGUGCCGGAAGGUUAAAGAAGUUGGUCAAUCUUUGGAUGAAGCUGGCGACUGAAGCCCCGGUGAACGGCGGCCGUAACUAUAACGGUCCUAAGGUAGCGAAGUUCCUUGUCGGAUAAGUUCCGACCCGCACGAAAGGCGUAACGAUCAGGGUGCUGUCUCGGAGAGAGACUCGGCGAAAUAGACAUGUCUGUGAAGAUGCGGACUACCUGCACCUGGACAGAAAGACCCUAUGAAGCUUUACUGUAUCUUGGAAUUGGGUUUGGGCCUUGCUUGCGCAGGAUAGGUGGGAGGCUGUGAAGAUAUUCUUGCGGGAAUGUUGGAGCCAACGGUGAGAUACCACUCUAGUAAGGCUAAAAUUCUAACUCUGAACCGUUAUCCGGUCAGAGAACAGUUUCAGGUGGGCAGUUUGACUGGGGCGGUCGCCUCCUAAAGGGUAACGGAGGCGCGCAAAGGUUCCCUCAGGCUGGUUGGACAUCAGUCGUAGAGUGUAAAGGCAUAAGGGAGCUUGACUGCGAGACCCACAAGUCGAGCAGAGACGAAAGUCGGCCUUAGUGAUCCGACGGUUCCACGUGGAAGGGCCGUCGCUCAACGGAUAAAAGUUACUCUAGGAUAACAGGCUGAUCUCCCCCAAGAGUUCACAUCGACGGGGAGGUUUGGCACCUCGAUGUCGGCUCAUCGCAUCCUGGGGCGGUAGUACGUCCCAAGGGUUGGGCUGUUCGCCCAUGAAAGCGGUACGCGAGCUGGGUUCAGAACGUCGUGAGACAGUUCGGUCCAUAUCCGGUGCAGGCGUUAGAGCAUUGAGAGGAGUCCCCCUUAGUACGAGAGGACCGGGGGGAAUACACCGCUGGUGUACCAGUUAUCGUGCCAACGGUAAACGCUGGGUAGCCAUGUGUAGCGCGGAUAACUGCUGAAAGCAUCUAAGUAGGAAGCCCACCUUAAGAUGAGUGCUCUCACCGCUAUAAGCGGGUAAGGUCACGGUAAGAACAACCGUUAUAUAGGCAUUAAGUAUACGUGCAGUAAUGCAUUUAGCUGAGAUGUACUAACAGACCGAGGGCUCU
rnacentral:rRNA from 1 species